rnacentral:rRNA from 1 species
AUACGUAGGGGGCGAGCGUUGUACGGAAUGAUUGGGCGUAAAGGGCGCGUAGGCGGCCCGGUAAGUCUGGAGUGAAAGUCCUGUUUUUAAGAUGGGAAUUGCUUUGGAUACUGUCGGGCUUGAGUGCAGGAGAGGUAAGUGGAAUUCCCAGUGUAGCGGUGAAAUGCGUAGAGAUUGGGAGGAACACCAGUGGCGAAGGCGACUUACUGGACUGUAACUGACGCUGAGGCGCGAAAGUGUGGGGAGCAAACAGGAUUAGAUACCCUGGUAGUCACACUGUAAACGAUGAAUGCUAGGUGUAGGGGGUAUCGACCCCUUCUGUGCCGCAGUCAACACAAUAAGCAUUCCGCCUGGGGAGUACGGCCGCAAGGUUGAAACUCAAAUGAAUUGACGGGG